UAGAAUUCCACGUGUAGCGGUGAAAUGCGUAGAGAUGUGGAGGAAUACCGGUGGCGAAGGCGGCCUUCUGGACAGAUACUGACGCUGAGAUGCGAAAGCGUGGGGAGCAAACAGGAUUAGAUACCCUGGUAGUCCACGCUGUAAACGAUGUCGAUUUGGAGUUUGUUGCCUAGAGUGAUGGGCUCCGAAGCUAACGCGAUAAAUCGACCGCCUGGGGAGUACGGCCGCAAGGUUAAAACUCAAAUGAAUUGACGGGGGCCCGCACAAGCGGUGGAGCAUGUGGUUUAAUUCGAUGCAACGCGAAGAACCUUACCUGGUCUUGACAUCCACAGAAUCUUGCAGAGAUGUGAGAGUGCCUUCGGGAACUGUGAGACAGGUGCUGCAUGGCUGUCGUCAGCUCGUGUUGUGAAAUGUUGGGUUAAGUCCCGCAACGAGCGCAACCCUUAUCCUUUGUUGCCAUCGGUUAGGCCGGGAACUCAAAGGAGACUGCCGUUGAUAAAGCGGAGGAAGGUGGGGACGACGUCAAGUCAUCAUGGCCCUUACGACCAGGGCUACACACGUGCUACAAUGGCGUAUACAAAGGGAGGCGACCUCGCGAGAGCAAGCGGACCUCAUAAAGUACGUCUAAGUCCGGAUUGGAGUCUGCAACUCGACUCCAUGAAGUCGGAAUCGCUAGUAAUCGUGAAUCAGAAUGU
rnacentral:rRNA from 1 species